rnacentral:rRNA from 1 species
CCUACGGGAGGCAGCAGUAGGGAAUCUUUCACAAUGGGCGAAAGCCUGAUGGAGCAACGCCGCGUGCAGGAUGAAGGCCUUCGGGUUGUAAACUGCUUUUAUAAGCGAGAAAUAUGAUGUUAACUUUUGAAUAAGGAUUGGCUAAUUACGUGCCAGAAGCAGCGGUUAUACGUAGGAGCCGAGCAUGAUCCGGAGUGACUGGGUGUAAAGAGUGGCGUAGGUGGUCUAAUAAGUAGCUAGGGAAAUGUGGUGGCUCAACCAUUCAGACUGUUAGCUAAACUGUUACGCUCGAGUCCGUUAGAGGUAACUGGAAUUUCUAGUGUAGGGGUGAAAGCCGUAGAUAUGAGAAGGAACACCAAUAGCGUAGGCAGGUUACUGGGACGGUACUGACGCUAAGGCACGAAAGCGUAGGGAUCAAACAGGAUUAGAUACCCCGGUAGUC